GAUACGUUUUGUUUGAAAAAUGGCCGCCGAAUUUCCACGACCAACAUGCUGAGAUUGUCCUUUUAAAUUUUGGGAGUAAAAUUUGCAAAAUGGCUGCUGAAGAGAGGAAUUUUAAAGCAGCCUUCCUCAUUGAUACACGGAGACAAAUCACAUCAAAAGAAAGGCCAUUAGAAGCCGACACUUUUUCCCGGGGAGUACGUUUGUGUGUGCUCAAACUGUUGUCGUAUUUCACCCACAUUCGCGACCACAGUCAACAAGCAAUCACCCAUCUGCGGUGGGGAUUCAAAGUGUUUCACUCGUACGAUUAUCCGCCUUGCAGACGCGACUACCUAAAGCAACUCUCGGUGAGAAACUUCCAGGACUUCGAAGAUCAGCUUUCGGGUGAUUUGGAGGGUCUCGCGUCGUCAAUUCGUGGAAGACGGGCGCCGAAGACUCCGCAGGUUUUGACAGCGACUUCCGUCCGGCAGGCGCUCGACGACGUCCUCCACGAUUUUCAGUGGGACGGACCCGAUGUCUGUUCCCCCGUGAAACGGAGCUCGGCUCCCUCGCCGAGGAGGGGGCUGAGAAUGCGGGGUUCCAACUGCCAACUGUCGAAGUGUGUUUUUCUGAUGAUGCCUUGCCCAGUCAGCCGAUCAGAGAUGGAGGAAUUUUGUGAUUUUGGUCCAGAUGAUCCACUGCCAAGGACCUCAGAGUUUCUUGAAAUGGUUCUUCCAACGAGUGGCGCACAACAGAUCUUUCAAGAUCAAAAUAUUGCUUUGUUUUGGAUUGACACCAGUCCAUGGAUCUCAACAGAAAAGAGGGACAACGAUGGGUUGUCGGUCAUCUCUCUGGCCAUGCGGGAGCUGGGCGGCUGUGUUAUUCCAGUCCAUGCCUUGGUCAGUCACAUGCAGCAUGUCACAACUAGCCUCAUGUCAUCCGUCCUGACCUCGCAAGAGCAGAGCGCGAGUGCCACCGUGACCAGUGGAGCAGCAGAUUGUGAGGUGUCACACCAGGAGAAAGACAAAUCGUCAUCCCUGUCAUCAGUGUCGAGGACAAAGUUGAAGUCCACGGAUUGUCCCCAUGAGCCCAAAGAAACCAGAGUGACAUCUGGGGGAAGAUGUGACCAACAAAAGAAGACAAGAAGUUGUUCUUUCCUUCCAUUUUCAACCGUCAUGGACUAUUACCUGAAUUCAAGAGAGACAGUGCCUUCAGAGCGGGAAAAGUGUCCACGCCUAAAACUGUCAGUUAUUACAGAUGGCAAGGUGACAGAUUUGUGUUGCCUUGAACUGUGCCCUCUUACCAAAGGACCAUCUAGUCCUUCAGGACGUACCUGUAGAUAUGUGCCAUCCCAAAAUGCAACAGCAAGUCCGCUGAAAGCCACAUCCACUGAACUAACCAUCACAGCCCCAGGCUGUAGCCAUGUUUCCAGCGUUACCAAUCAGGAUCCCAAAAUUGUUACCGAUGGCACCGAAGCAUCAGGACCACCUUCCACUGGAACUCCCCACAGAGUCCAAAAUCAAGCUUUCAUAAAGACCAAACUACCAAGUGGUGUCGUGCCCAUUUCACUUUACCAAACCGACGCUGUUUACGCAUGCACAGGUUUUUCUUUUGCUGUACAGUCUGCAGAAAAGAAGUCUGGCCCACGUGAAGACGACAAACUUUCAGGUUGGUUCAGGGAAGCCAUGAUUAGCCUCAGCCAGCAAAAGAAAGUCUUGUUGGUCGAUAUGACACACCCAGAAGUCGGCACACCCGUCAUGGCAGUACUGGAGCCCCUCACGUCCACCACCGCAUCCCUCCGGACUCUGAAAUCAUGGCCUCUCCCCGGGUACGGUUCGACCGGUCUCUGCGACGAGGCCGGCAGGGCAACGAGAGCCAGCAUAAAUAGGAGAAGUCGCAGUGGGGACGACAGGACCAGGAUAACCAGAAUCGCCGAGGAAUGCGUAAAGAGACGAAGUGGCCUGGAAAAAAUGUUGGAAAACCCUCAAGGAGCUGAAGAAACGUCCCACCCAAUUCCCCUGUCAUCCAACCACAGUGAGAUGGUCUCAUUCCGGCCUCAUGUCUUAGAGCCCUGGUAUCCUUACUGCCCGUCAGGUGGUGCAUCUGCCAGACUGCUUGAUAAGCUACAGAGUUUUCCUCUUCGUGACAAACCCCACGACUCCAUGAAUCCCACCUUACCAGGUCAGCUCCUUCAGAGGCUUGUGGAAACGUACAACAGACAGCCUGGCAUCAACAGUAGCCAGAGCACUGCCAUGAAGACCACUGAACCGGUAGAUGGCAAGACAGAGACCCAGGCUAGGCAGCCAGCUGUUGAGCCUGGACCGGUGAGGCAGAGCCCUCGCCUCCAGAGACGCAAGAGUACGAUGAACGUGGGCUUCCGCACGGAGAAAAUCAUGAGCAACAGCCUGCGCAUCCGGGUCACCAAGGAGCCGAGCCCCGCAAAGAGGGACCAGAAGGAGAACCGGGCACCGGGCAGUGCCAGGACCAAGACCACGAUGUUUAAGUGUCCAUCAUUUGACUCUGAGCAGGACGUGAUUGACUGCAUUCAGGCCGCCUACGAGAAAGGAGUGUCAGAGGGUUCUUCAGCGGUGGAUUUUGUACCGUUCAUAACCAGUAUAGUGCUGUCCUACAUGAAGUCCAGUUCCACAGAUUCUGGAGAAAAUGAAGCUGUGGCUAGGGCCAGGGAGCUACUGACACGCUGCCUGCUAGUCUCCAGCAACCAACUGCGGGACAAGUACCAGUCCCGGACCGACGAGUCGGGCAAUCUGCUCAGGGUGCAGGAGAUUGAGGUGCAGGUCCUGCUGCGGCUGGAGAUGGAGGCUAUAUCGCCAACGGAUGUCUCCCUAGGCAAAUGCCAAGCAGUUAGUCAGGAUGACGGCGUGGCUGCUGAAGGCGGACGGGACGAUGAGGAGAAUCAGGAGAGGGGCGGAGUCAGCAGUGCAGAGGAAGAGGGGACCAAACUCCCUGAGAACGUUCAAAAAUUAGUAGAUGAGAUUGUCAAACUUUUGAGAGCUGUUCCCUUCCUGGCUGAUACCAGCAGGCUAACAACCUUCCUCGCCGACAACCUCCUGCAAAACUAUGCUGACUCGUUGCCUCACGUCUUGCGCGUCAUCUACGAUGACCUGAUGCAGCCAGUCCCCUCCAUCUUGCUGUCACCCGGCAGCAGCGAUGUGGCUCUUUCCUCCGUCAAGACCCAACCGCCUCCGUCGUAUCGUUCCUCCUCCCAUGGGUCGUUCCCCGAGCCCUCUGUCUCAAGCAUAAGGACAAGAUCCUUGGUCCGUCAUCCGAGCCUGGUUGAUAUGGGAAGCAAAAGAGUCAUACCGGUCCCGUCAAGGAAUGCCGCCAAGAAAAAGGAUAAAACAAAAGCAAAAGAAGUAAAGGAUGACGCCACUUCGAAUGCCAAGACGGUGCGCAGGAACCUCUUCAUGGGUGGAGCCAAACACAGCCCCAGGAAAGGUGUAGGCGGCAAACUCCCACGACGGCAGAGCGUGGCCGUCAUGCAGAGUGCUCAGAGCACCAGGAAAAGUCCAAGGAGACGCACACCUCAAAGGGCCAAAGCACCCCUGGUGCUGAAGACAAGGGUCGUCAAGGAGACGCCGGGCAAGAAGCAGGUUUUGCAGGCCAUGCUGAAGAAGCAGGAGAGGGCGAGGAGAUUCUCGGCAAAUUCCGGGAGAGUCGUGGUUCCUCCAACCCCCACAAGAGUGAUCGAAGAAUCGCCGCUGAAACCGCCACCUGCCCUGAAUGUUCGUCGCAGUCCACGUGUCAAACCUCGGAAGCCUGGGGACAGGCGCAGCUUCUACUCCACGAGUAGCGUCGCCGACCUGAAGCGGGCCCGCGACUUGGGUUCCAGGAUUGCGGGCAAGGCAACCCCACCUCCCCCUGACAAGCCACUCCCACCCGCAAGCAGGAAGUCGCUGUUGAGUGAGAUCUGCAGUCCAAGGAGCUUACCAGGGACAUUGCCACCAACCCAGGGUGAGCCCGAAUCCUCAAGUCGGAAUACCAGGUCCCAAGUAAAACGGACACCCUCAAAGGAUUUGGUAGGAAAAGCGACCCAAGCCGGAACAAGCCCAAAUGAGACAGGCAAAACAGAGGAUGCAGUGUUCAAGACACCCACAAGAGCUCCUAGAAGGCUAAACAUCAAGUCCCCUCCCAGACUCUCCACCAUUGCAGUUGAGAGCACCUCAGAUGGCCCAAGUGAGGAAGCCAUCUCAAGCAAGGUUUGUGAUCGAGGUAAAGUCACCCUGCAAGAGCCUGUGGUAGCUGAUUGGCCGCUAAAUGUGGACAAGGGUAAAUCACCCAGUGGAUUUGGAGGUAGGCCAGCUGCAAGGGUCACUCAGAAAUCCAGCAACGGAACUGGGGUAGGUGAAGAUACCAGUCCCUGCUCAUCACCUUUAAAGAUGACGAGCCCAUCCCGCACUCCAAAGAGCCAAGGGCCACACACCAGAACGUCCUCUGUAGCAGCCUUGUCUGUACCAGCCCACGCUGUGGAAAUGCCACUCGAAGAUUCCACUUCACAAAAACAACCAGAAAGAGAUGGUGAAAAUGUAGUCACGCCGAGCAGGAGGAGUCAGAGACUUCAGAAGUCUUCCUCGCUUUCCAACCAAGCUAGUGUUUCCACCGUCAACCUCGGCUCACAGCCAGCAGUCAUGGAUGAGGCUGCAGGUGCCAGAACUGAAACAAGCAGGGCAUCAUCAGAGGCUCAAGACAACUCUCUCCAUCCUCCUAGACACCGGAAACGAGCAUUGGCAGACAGAACUCCCUCCCCUAAUUGCAAGACCCUGGCCCACACUCCGUCCCCGCAGAAACUCUCCAAGUCGGCCACCCCGAGCUCCCUCCACGAGUGGCAGCGGAAGAAGAGACUCCGGCGCGACUCGCCCGAGAGGUCCACCUCGCCUAUCUUUUCCAGGGUCACCCCUCCCUCCGCCCAGCGGAAAAGGAAGCCCGCCACCCCGCCUCCCGCACAGUCACCCAAGUUUGGUCGGGUGACGCCUUACUCGGAGAAGAGAAAAAGAGGACUGAAGCUGGGAGGCUCUACCAGGAAACAGAGUCCAGGAACAGUGACGCCUGAAGAAUCCUUGGGGAAAUCAGGCCAGUACAAGCUUGGCAAAGUGCGCAAAGCAAACGUGAAUCUCCUGACUCUGAUGAUGGGUGCAAGUAACGAUCACCCCAUCGCCGGCAAAAUGCAAACACGAAGCCAGUCACGUGAGAGUGCAAAAUCAGCAGGCGCCUCCAGCGACCUAUCGGACUGCCUUGAGGAGCAACAACCUGCAGUAUACACCUUCUUAGAUACCCAUCUGGAUGACUCUGACGACGAUGUCGACUUCCCCAAAAUGAUCUCCCCGAUCCGCCCAAAAGCCAGAGCCGUCGUGACUGACGAAACCUCCCCGGACGGAGUGAGUGAUCGCCCCACAAUAAAAAGUCCCAGCAUGUCAGCCAGGAGUUCCGCGUCAGUCUUCCUCUCAGAGGAUGAAGCGUCCUUUUCCACAGAUGACGUCUUCCUUCAAGCGUCCCCCUCACAUGCCAAGCGGAAGUUAAGGACUACCUCGCUGACCACCGGUGGGUUGUUUGAACUCAUGAACUCACCGUUAGUGGAGUCAGUUCAGAUGAUGUCAAGCUCAGGAUCCAAGGUUUCAUUCGGUAAAAAACCAAGGAAAGGUCGCCAGUUGUACCCAUCUGGUUCCCAGUCAUCGGUCAGUUCCCACAGGUCGUCGUCGCUGGGCCUGAGACGUUUGAGUAGCAAAGAGAGCCCGUGAAUUGGAUUUCAAAACAGUUGGGGAUAUUUCUCUUGUGCCUGCAUGUCCUAGCCAAAUAAAGGGCUUUUGGUAGCCAUUUUGAAACCAACUCAGCGGAUGAUGUGAUCUGAGGAACAGCGCAAAGUGGAAAGCCUGCCCCCCCCCGGCCGUCCGGAUCAGGUGGUCCAAGGUCGUCUGGUCCGUGUCCGUCCGUCUCAUCCGGGUCCACCCGGGCUCUGCCCCCAGUCGGGAGAACAGCUCCUGGGUCUCUGGCAACCAGUUAUCCUGGGCUGCAGACGACAGUGUCCAGCAGGGGGAAACAGAACAUGUUCUGUCGUUCAAAAAAGGUUGGAAAGAAUUGUGAAUUUAUCAUCAGCACAUGAAACUCAUGUUACAGAUUUAAAGAACCCAAUGAAUUAUUUAGAUAUGUUUUGACCAAAAAGCGAGUGUAAUUAAUCCACAUAGCUCCUAUAAUGUGGAUAGAGGGCCUUGCCCUUAGAACAAGGGGGCAAAGUCUCCCAAUGUCUCCGUCUCUCCUAACCUCCCCCCCGCACACACCAUAACACUCUGAAUUUACAGGCUGUGAAUUUUCAUUUGCCAAAAAACCUGGGUUCAAGCAUUGAACUAGGGUUUUCAGCUCAGUGCUACCAGGAUUUUGAGCGUCUCUCAUAUCAGCAACCAUAUCGACACUGGAGGAUUUUGUUGUUG
rnacentral:misc_RNA from 1 species